rnacentral:lncRNA from 1 species
GAUUGAGCAUAGGAUCACCAUUGGUGGUUAGGUUUGUCUCCCGUUUUUUUAUCCUUACAUCCAGAGGCUUGGAUGAACAAAAGGUAAGAUCUUGACCAAGAAAAAUUGUUGGUUUCAUUAAGUUUUAUAGGAGUAAUUUGUGAAGAAUGAUUUUCACUCAACAGGUUAACCCUACCAACAUCUAUAUCUUUGCCAUUUUUCUUAAAGUUAAUCCAAACGGACAAAUUUACCUCUCUCUUCUAAGUGAACUUCAGCAAAAACAAAACAAUGUCAUAUUUUUCCCCUUGGAUGCAAAGGGCAGCACACCUGCUUUUUCACACUGCCUCUCUCAUUGAAGAUGACGAUGCACAAGCUGUGGUUCAGGUACAUACAAAGAGCUGCACUUAUCGACACCACUUCACAUUGAGCUUCUAUUCUGCAGUCACGUCUCUUCUUUAGGUCGCGAUCAUUGUGUUCCUCAGCUGCAGCAAGACUUGUAACUAGUGCACUAUGUGCUUUUCAUCCUCUGACAAACAAUUGGUGCACAUAGCCAUUCAUGCUCUCUUCUUCCUGUUGCACAAAGCCUUCGGAAUCCGACUUUAAAAAAUGCAGGUGGGCAUAACACUGAUUAUCACUUGUUAUUCCAGGAAGAAGAGAGCAGAAUAUCAUGCUUUCAAGCAGCAGUCAUGGACACAAGCCCUGGUACAAUGUAAUUCAUGGUCUGGAUCAAGAAAAUAGAGACAAAUAAGAGUGAAGAAUGAGUUUUUUUAGUGUGUAUUAUUGAUAUACAUUUUACAUAGUUAUACACGUUUAUGUUGGUUAAAAAAGAAAAUUAUAGAUUGAAAUCACUAAUUAGGAACAUUCACAGAAUCUUCUCUCAAUAAUCUCGGUAGUGUACAACUUCUUUUCUGCCCCAAGCUUCUAAAAUGAUUUAGGCUCAUUAAGAGAGAGUGGACUGCACUCAAAACGUUUACGUACUCAAGAAACUUUCCAAAAUUUAUCUGCUUAUUUUUAUUCCUUGAUAGAGGCCUUACUGGGAGAGUGACAAACCACUUGUGUUAGG